rnacentral:rRNA from 1 species
UACAGAGGUGGCAAGCGUUGUUCGGAAUUACUGGGCGUAAAGGGCGCGUAGGCGGCCAUCUAAGUCAGACGUGAAAUCCCCCGGCUUAACCUGGGAACUGCGUCUGAUACUGGACGGCUUGAGUAUGGGAGAGGGAUGUAGAAUUCCACGUGUAGCAGUGAAAUGCGUAGAUAUGUGGAGGAAUACCGAUGGCGAAGGCAGCCCCCUGGGAUAACACUGACGCUCAUGCACGAAAGCGUGGGGAGCAAACAGG